AUGUGUCUACAGGAUACCUUGUUGGAAUGCCUUAGAAACAAAUUUAAAAAAGAAAGGAUUCCCUUGGUUAGCUCAUCGAUCGUCCUGCAAAUGAAGGAGAAGUAUGGGAUUAAAAGGAAGUGUGCUGGACAAACAGAUUCUGAGGAACUUAGUCAACAACAAGAGAUUGUGUUGGACCUGGAAGUAAUGGGUGAGGAUGAGACAAGUUUCCGGGAACACAUUAAUGCCAUCACCCUGGAGUUGCGUAAAAGCAAUCCCAGUUACUCUGAAGUCAAGAACCGGAUGAAGCGCACUCUUUUCAAAAGAGUACAGCUUAUGGACAGGCCUGCAGCUGAAGUAAUGGAGCAGUUUCCUUUUCUUGGAGUGCCACAGCUUAUGCUGCAUGAAAUGACAAUGAGGUUUGGAACAGACUUGGCGAAGAACAUGGAAACAUCUCUGAAUGAAAUGGCCCCAAACAUCAUCAGGAGUGCAAAAGAAGGAAGUCAAAAAAAACUCUACGCCAAUCUCAUUGGACUAGCAGAGGAAACCACAGAAGGUCUCGUUAGGAAUGCUGCACUCAUUUUAUUGCCAGCACUAUUUAAAGAAAACGCCAGCUUCCUCUACUGUGUAGAUAGUGAACCCAAAGGUGCUACACCAACCAUAGUGUUUAACGGCUCUCCUGAUCCCCUCAAGGCUGAAAGCGUCAGCAUUAUAAUGGACAAUGUGAGCAUCAUAAGAGAGGCAGACACUGACAUGACACAGGCUGUGGAAUGCCUAUUUGCAGUUUAUUUUCUCUUCAAUGUGCAAUACCCGGUUGACAUUAAGCACACAAUGACUUUUAUUCAAAAAUAUAUGCUUAAACUUAGACAAGAGCAUGGCAAAAGAACACCAAUACCUGUACUGAAAAUGUACAGUCAACUUGUGUAAAUUGUAGAGCUAUUUAAUAGUUGUUUUAAUUGUUCAUGUAUUUUUAUCUGCACUGUCAAAUAUCAAAAAUGAUUUGUUUUUCCUCAUUUCAGAGAUAUAUGUAAAAGUAAUGUACUGUAUAUGUACAUAAACAAGCUUAUGUAUGUUUAUUGCAAAGUGAAAAUGCUUAAAUGAAAUAAUUCAAACUAAAUGGUUAAAUGUAAUUAAACAUCUUAAAUGUAAAAUAUGAAAUUUGCUGUCUAAUACAGAGUAUACAGAGGUGCAAUUUUAAAUGACACAAAUAUUUUUGUAUAAUCAGUUGAAUAAAUUUAAACAUUUAGAAUUUUCUGGAUUGUUU
ensembl:lncRNA